AACCACCCCUGGUGGCCUAGUGGUUAGAGUGUCCGCCUCAGAUGUGGGAGGUCGCGGGUGUGAGCCCUGACCAAGUCA